AUUUCCGAAUGGGGAAACCCACCCGCUUGCGGGUAUCUCUUAGCUGAAUACAUAGGCUUUGAGAGGCGAACCCGGGGAACUGAAACAUCUAAGUACCCGGAGGAAAAGAAAUCAACCGAGAUUCCCUUAGUAGCGGCGAGCGAACGGGGACCAGCCCUUAAGCUGUGUUGUGGUUAGCAGAACGCUCUGGAAAGUGCGGCCAUAGUGGGUGAUAGCCCCGUAUGCGAAAACCUAUAUGCAGUGAAAUCGAGUAGGACGGGACACGUGUUAUCCUGUCUGAAUAUGGGGGGACCAUCCUCCAAGGCUAAAUACUCCUGACUGACCGAUAGUGAACCAGUACCGUGAGGGAAAGGCGAAAAGAACCCCUGUGAGGGGAGUGAAAUAGACCCUGAAACCGUGUACGUACAAGCAGUGGGAGCCGUUUUCGGACGGUGACUGCGUACCUUUUGUAUAAUGGGUCAGCGACUUACUUUCAGUGGCAAGCUUAACCGUUUAGGGGAGGCGUAGGGAAACCGAGUCUUAAUAGGGCGAUCAGUCGCUGGGAGUAGACCCGAAACCGGGCGAUCUAUCCAUGGGCAGGUUGAAGGUUGAGUAACAUCAACUGGAGGACCGAACCGACUACCGUUGAAAAGUUAGCGGAUGACCUGUGGAUCGGAGUGAAAGGCUAAUCAAGCCCGGAGAUAGCUGGUUCUCCUCGAAAGCUAUUUAGGUAGCGCCUCAUGUCUCACCUUGGGGGGUAGAGCACUGUUUCGGCUAGGGGGUCAUCCCGACUUACCAACCCGAUGCAAACUCCGAAUACCCAAGAGUGCAAUCAUGGGAGACACACGGCGGGUGCUAACGUCCGUCGUGGAAAGGGAAACAACCCAGACCGCCAGCUAAGGUCCCAAAGUUCUGGUUAAGUGGGAAACGAUGUGGGAAGGCUCAGACAGCUAGGAGGUUGGCUUAGAAGCAGCCACCCUUUAAAGAAAGCGUAAUAGCUCACUAGUCGAGUCGGCCUGCGCGGAAGAUAUAACGGGGCUCAAACCAGACACCGAAGCUGCGGAUGCCUUAGGGCAUGGUAGAGGAGCGUUCUGUAAGCCGUUGAAGCCAAAGGUGUAAACCAUGGUGGAGGUAUCAGAAGUGCGAAUGCUGACAUAAGUAACGAUAAAGGGGGUGAAAAACCCCCUCGCCGGAAGACCAAGGUUUCCUAUCCAAUGCUAAUCAGGGUAGGGUGAGUCGGCCCCUAAGGCGAGGCAGAAAUGCGUAGUCGAUGGGAAACAGGUUAAUAUUCCUGUACCGGCUGUAACUGCGACGAAGGGACGGAGAAGGCUAGGCCAGCGCGGCGAUGGUUGUCCGCGUUUAAGGGUGUAGGCUGGGAGAGUAGGCAAAUCCGCUCUCCCUUAAGGCU
rnacentral:rRNA from 1 species